AUUGAACGCUGGCGGCAUGCCUUACACAUGCAAGUCGAACGGUAACAGGUUAAGCUGACGAGUGGCGAACGGGUGAGUAAUAUAUCGGAACGUGCCCAGUCGUGGGGGAUAACUGCUCGAAAGAGCAGCGAAUACAGCAUACGACAUGAGGGUGAAAGCGGGGGAUCGCAAGACCUCGCGCGAUUGGAGCGGCCGAUAUCAGAUUAGGUAGUCGGUGGGGGAAAGGCCUACCAAGCCUACGAUCCGUAGCUGGUCUGAGAGGAAGACCAGCCACACUGGGACUGAGACACGGCCCAGACUCCUACGGGAGGCAGCAGAGGGGAAUUUUGGACAAUGGACGCAAGUCUGAUCCAGCCAAGCCGCGUGCGGGAAGAAGGCCUUCGGGUUGUAAACCGCUUUUGUCAGGGAAGAAAAGGUUCUGGUUAAUACCUGGGACUCAUGACGGUACCUGAAGAAUAAGCACCGGCUAACUACGUGCCAGCCGCCGCGGUAA
rnacentral:rRNA from 1 species